GUCUCUUCGGGGAUGAUUAAACCGGCGCACGGGUGAGUAACACGUGAGUGACCUGCCUUUUAGACUGGAACAACUUACCGAAAGGUGAGCUAAUGCCGGAUGAGUUAUAUAAGUGCAUGUUUAUAUAGGAAAAGUUGGGGAGACCUGACGCUGAAAGAUGGACUCGCGUCCCAUUAGCUAGUUGGUAGGGUAAUGGCCUACCAAGGCGACGAUGGGUAGCCGGCCUGAGAGGGUGGCCGGCCACACUGGGACUGAGACACGGCCCAGACUCCUACGGGAGGCAGCAGUGGGGAAUUUUGCGCAAUGCUCGUAAGAGUGACGCAGCGACGCCGCGUGAAUGACGAAGGCCUUCGGGUCGUAAAGUUCUUUCGACAGGGAAGAAAAUGCCUAUAAGUAACUGUGUAUGUAUUGACGGUACCUGUAUAAGCAGCCCCGGCUAACUCCGUGCCAGCAGCCGCGGUAAUACGGAGGGGGCGAGCGUUGUUCGGAGUGACUGGGCGUAAAGAGCACGUAGGCGGUGUUGUAAGUCAUUAGUCAAAGACUAGAGCUCAACUUUAGUAAGGCUAGUGAUACUAUAAUACUAGAGUAUCAGAGAGGAUUGCAGAAUUCCUGGUGUAGCGGUGAAAUGCGUAGAUAUCAGGAGGAAUACCGUUAGCGAAGGCGGCAAUCUGGCUGGAAACUGACGCUGAGGUGCGAAAGCGUGGGUAGCAAACAGGAUUAGAUACCCUGGUAGUCCACGCUGUAAACGAUGGAUGCUAGGUGUUGGGCUUUUAAGUUCAGUGCCGCAGCAAACGCGAUAAG
rnacentral:rRNA from 1 species